UACGUAGGGGGCAAGCGUUGUCCGGAUUUAUUGGGCGUAAAGAGCGUGUAGGCGGCCAAACAGGUCAGCUGUGAAAACUCGAGGCUCAACCUCGAGACGUCGGUUGAAACCGUUUGGCUAGAGUCCGGAAGAGGUGAGUGGAAUUCCCGGUGUAGCGGUGAAAUGCGCAGAUAUCGGGAAGAACACCCGUGGCGAAGGCGGCUCUCUGGGACGGUACUGACGCUGAGACGCGAAAGCGUGGGGAGCGAACAGG
rnacentral:rRNA from 1 species